rnacentral:lncRNA from 1 species
CUCCUUAUCCAGCAGCAGCUCAGUGGUACCAGGAUUGAAGGUUUUGUGUAUUAUAAGGAAAUUCAGAGCCACAUGAAGAUGAGUUUGAGCUUAAAACCCCACUGGAAUUUGCCCAGAUGCAGUUGGUGUUUCUUUCACGGCGAAAACACAGCUUCAGCCUUAUGAAGAAUUGCAAAAUACCUGCUUGUCCAAACAAACAAAAGCUGCUCCCUUUUCAUCACAGCCCUGAUAAUGAAUUGCAGUGUACAAAGCCGGUCAUACAAUACGCAGCAGCGGCAGCGCGGAGCGAGAAUCUUUGGGAAGAGUUUCCAUAGAAACAUUGACGUCCUCCUGGCGAACAGGACACCGAGUUCCUUCAAUGGGAGCUGCCUUCUGUGUCUUGCUCAGGACUCCAGCAACUUCUGCCAGCUCAGCAGCAGUUACCGGGUUUGUAAAGCUCCUUACGGAAUCUCACCUGAAAACACUGAUCUGCGGCACUGUGCAGUUUUUCCCACUUCAAAGGGAAAUCUGCUGCUGCCACCCCAGAACUGAGCGCAGCGAGACACCGAACUGUCACUGGGGGCUGAUGUCACCUCCCAAGGUGUGUUUGUUGUACCAGGGAGCCUUCUGAGCGCUAAUGUCAGAAAAAACAAAACAAAACAACCACCUCUAUUUGUCUUUUCGCCUUCUCUGUUUAGGGAGUUGUUUCACGUUGUCUCUUUUUGUUCAAAACAAAUACCCAGGGCUCUCACGCAGAUUCCCAGUGAUGCUACAGCAGUUCCCAGUAGUCUCCCAGUUGCUAAUGCUUGUAAUUUUAUAAUGUUCAUACUUUAUUUUCCAUUCGGGGUGCACAGUGACGGCAGGUGACUCAGUUUUCACCGAAGGCAUGUGCAACCCCUUAUGGUUAAAAAUGGGUGAGAAAUGGGGAGGGGGGAAUCGUAAAUAUUUUUAGUCUUAAUCAAGAUCUUCAAGCUGUUUGCAAUACUGCAAUCCCAGUAGCAUCAACAUUGAUAUGUCUGAAUAAAAGCUAUGUGUUUUACA